rnacentral:tRNA from 1 species
AGGGUUAUAGUUAAACUUAUAACAUUUGAUUUGCAUUCAAAAAUUAUUUUUA